CUUUAUUGGAGAGUUUGAUCCUGGCUCAGGACGAACGCUGGCGGCAUGCCUAAUACAUGCAAGUCGAGCGGACUUGAAGAGAAGCUUGCUUCUCUGAUAGUUAGCGGCGGACGGGUGAGUAACACGUAGGCAACCUGCCCUCAAGUUUGGGACAACUACCGGAAACGGUAGCUAAUA
rnacentral:rRNA from 1 species